GAUGAACGCUGGCGGCGUGCCUAAUACAUGCAAGUCGAGCGAACGGACGAGAAGCUUGCUUCUCUGAUGUUAGCGGCGGACGGGUGAGUAACACGUGGAUAACCUACCUAUAAGACUGGGAUAACUUCGGGAAACCGGAGCUAAUACCGGAUGAUAUUUUGAACCGCAUGGUUCAAAAGUGAAAGACGGUCUUGCUGUCACUUAUAGAUGGAUCCGCGCUGCAUUAGCUAUUUGGUAAGGUAACGGCUUACCAAGGCAACGAUGCAUAGCCGACCUGAGAGGAUGAUCGGCCACACUGGAACUGAGACACGGUCCAGACUCCUACGGGAGGCAGCAGUAGGGAAUCUUCCGCAAUGGGCAAAAGCCUGACGGAGCCACGCCGCGUGAGUGCUGAAGGUCUUCGGAUCGUAAAACUCUGUUAUUCGGGAAGAACAUAUGUGUAAGUAACUGUGCACAUCUUGACGGUACCUAAUCAGAAAGCCACGGCUAACUACGUG
rnacentral:rRNA from 1 species